rnacentral:rRNA from 1 species
UACGGAGGAUGCGAGCGUUAUCCGGAUUUAUUGGGUUUAAAGGGUGCGUAGGCGGGCUUUUAAGUCAGCGGUAAAAAUUCGGGGCUCAACCCCGUCCGGCCGUUGAAACUGGGGGUCUUGAGUGGGCGAGAAGAAGGCGGAAUGCGUGGUGUAGCGGUGAAAUGCAUAGAUAUCACGCAGAACCCCGAUUGCGAAGGCAGCCUUCCGGCGCCCUACUGACGCUGAGGCUCGAAAGCGUGGGGAGCAAACAGG